CUCCCAGUAACGGCGAGUGAACGGAGAUUAGCCCGUCACCGAAGUCCGGUGCUCUUGCACUCGUGACCAUGUGGUGUUGAGGCGUGCACCUGGGGCCUCGUGACUGCCCGAAGUCCAACUUCGAUUAUGGCUUGGAAUUAGCCCAGAGCGGGUGAAAGGCCCGUGCGGGUAGAAGUUUGACUGUGAGCGGGGCCCUCGGCUGUGCAUGCUUUCGAGUCGGAUUGCUUGAGAAUGCAGUCCAAAGUGGGUGGUAAACUCCAUCCAAGGCUAAAUACUGGCACGAGUCCGAUAGUAGACAAGUACCGUGAGGGAAAGUUGAAAAGUACUCUGAAGAGAGAGUAAAUAGUACGUGAAACCGAUCGCAGGGAAGCUGGUGGAGUCAAGCUUCAUGCUUGGAGAAUUCUCGCAUGGAGAUUGCUGUGAAUGUGGGCUGCAUGUCGGACAGCUUGGAAAGAGCUGGUCGCACUCGUGUGAUUCAGGUCUGCCCGGGCCGGCUGAAUGUUGCGUCGUGUUGGCCCUGCUCUGUGCGAUCUAUUCUCCUUGGCAUAGGCCAUGGUCGACAGCGUCUUGCGGACGCGCCCUCCGGCUGUCUAACUGUGCGUUGGCGAGCCUCUGGCUUGCCAAUCGCAGGAGGGCAGUUGGUGUCCGUGGGGCCAGUGUCCACGGGUGCCCAAUCCGGUCUUGACUGGCCGAUGGCCGGGCGGUGUCGUCGCUGUCGUUGAUGUGUGGCCUGGUGCCCAAGGGCGCCUGACCGCUCAGAACCAUGGUUCUGAGGUAGACUUUCCACCCGACCCGUCUUGAACCACGGACCAAAA
rnacentral:rRNA from 1 species